GUACCAGUUGUUCUGCCAAGGGCAUGGCUGGGUAGCUAUGUACGGAAUGGAUAAGCGCUGAAAGCAUCUAAGCGCGAAGCCAACUUCAAGAUAAGAUUUCCCACCGUAAGGGUAAGACCCCAGGAAGACUACCUGGUUGAUAGGUCGAAGGUGUAAGUGCAGUAAUGUAUUUAGCUUAUCGAUACUAAUAGGUCGAGGACUUGACCAAU
rnacentral:rRNA from 1 species